AGGAGCCAGAAUGAUGCCUGUGGUGCGCUGGGGUUGACUGAUGCAAGGACAGCAGGAGAAUUCUGGGGAGGAGGAAGUUGAUUCCUCCCACUCCUGCCCAGAUCACCGAAGCCACAGGAUGUGAGCUGCCCCACUGAAAAAGAACCUGAAGGCUGCUAACACAGACCCUACAGCCCCACCCUAUGACUCCCUGCUCAGGGCAGUGGCUCUGAUGCCGGCUCCCUGAGCUCCUUCACCUCCUCAGCCUCCAACCAGGACCAGGACUACAACUACCUUACUGAAUAGGGAAGUCGAUUCAAGAAACUGGCUGACAUGUACGGUGGUGGUGAGGAUGACUAGGCUGCCCUGCCGAGCUGUCCAGCAAGAACUGAAGAUCCGGUCACAAGGGGAACCUCGCUUCCACUUCGCAAGGACUCUAGAGCUUGCCAGGAAGCGACCUGAGAGGCAUGCUGCAUCUGACAUGAAGGCCGGACUGUAGCCUCUGAGAUGAAAGGGUGUGGCACCGACUUCAGCACUGAUCCCCUCUCAGCCAGGGUAGGGCUGCUUCCAAGGCUGAACUUGCAGAGGUCUCCCACCUGCCACUCCGUGCUCCACCCCGCCCUCCUCAGGGCCUCCUCGCUCUGACGUUCUUCAUGACUUUCCCACGGUUCCUUCUCUUUGGAAAGAGGCCUCUUUCUGCAGCCCCCCCUUUUUUUUUUUCUUAUGCGGUUUUUAAAAAGUUAGAAGCUGGAAGGGCAGGGUCAGUGUCCCCUCCGGCCCUCUGCAAGAGAAGCCUGCCAGGCUCGCUGGUCCUGGUUUGUCUGAUCUCUGGGCCUUGAGGCCUCACACUGGGAUGGAUUACUGCUUUAUUAUUAUUUUUUUUAACUGAGUAUGUCUAGUUGUCUUGCAUUUUUUAUUUUCUCUGUUGUGUCCUGUGGGUGGACAGUGAUGACAAUCAUGUAUAUGUUCUAGAAUUUUUUUAUUAAACAAACUUUUCCCAGA